CCAUCUUGUUCCCUGUUAGUCCUGUUGCUCCAGAAUGAGGCAGCAAGUUUUCAACUGAAGAAAUGUCUGCCAAAGCACUGUUGACUCCUGGGUCAUGAGUGGAUAUAGGGUUAUUUGGAGGCUGAUAAAAGUGAUGCUUUGGGUCAUCUUGGACAGGAACAGCAGCAUCUGUUGAUGCGUCAGAAGGGCUUCCAUCAAAUGAUGGCAUGCUUAUUGCAGAUAUCUCAGGCAUGGCAUGGAACAUAGGAUUCAACCCAGUAAACCUUUUGACAGUCUCCUCGGCCAUCUUCACCUUUGCUCUCAAUGUUUCAACAUCAGCUUUUAAAACUCUGUUAUCAACAGCUGCCCCAUUGUACUUGUGGCCUAUGUCAGAAAGACGCUUUAAUAGAGAAGAAUUUUCAACUCUCAAUUGAGCAACCUGUGUCUCAAGAUCAGUCAAAUGGGCCUGUUUUCUUCUUCUCGAUCGUCUAGCUGACUCUCUAUUUGAAAGCAUUCUCCUUACACGUUUUGCAUUAGCAGGGUCCAUAUUCUCAGUUAUUUCAGUUUCACCUUCAUUUUCAUCAUCUUCUGACUGCUCUCUUGAUGAUCCACUUGUUGGCUUCACAGUAGCUCCAGAUUUCUUUUGUGUGCUAUGUAUGGAGAUUCCAACGGGUCCAUUAGCAUCCAUAUCUUGUGACGUGGACAAGUCACAUCCAGCCCAUUCCACAUUGAUCAAAUUUU
rnacentral:misc_RNA from 1 species